GGAAGGCGCCGAGGGCAGCAGAAGUCAAGACGGCAGUCGGGAGGUGCUGUUCCCCGCAACCUCGGCUCCAGCGCUCGGGGCCGCUUCCCUCCCGGGUGCAGUCGGCUCUGCGCCGGGACCCGCAGCACGCCGUCCUCUGACGAGGCUCCCUCGGCCACAGUCCCCUCCCCUCCAUCAGACGCGCUGCGGAUGCGAAAGUCCAGACACAACUGAAAUUAGCAUCCAGGCUCCAGAUGCCACCCGUCCUCACGCAGAGGUUUGCACAGAAACAAGCGCCAUUCCUGACCUUGGGGACGUCGCCGAGUCCGUCUGCAGGCAGGGCAGGGAGGUGCUGAGAAUUCGGGUGCACGUGUCAGCACCCGGAGAGCCGGCCGCGGCCCUUGACCCCCUCCGCUCUGGGCCAGCCUCAACCAGCGGGGCCGAGGGGAGGACAGGCUCCCCCCAGGGAGGUGGGGCGCACACUCACCUCGUUCCUCCUGCUGGAGCCGGCCCUGUCCCUGUGCCUGCAUCGCAGCAGAAGUACCCUCUGUGCUCGGGACCCAGGCAGAUGUGACCUCCCCUCACCCCACAACCACCAGAGACAGCCCAGGGCAGACCCUGCCCAGCUCCUUCCCCAGGGCCUUGAGCACAUUACCAAAUGCUCUGUGCUUCAAUUCAGUUUCCCCAUCUCGGCAAAGGGCACUAACGGCCAUCUCACAAUGGUUCGUUGAGAGUCAAAGAGUCUGGAACAGUGUCUUGUAAACGUUGUUACAAUUGCCUGGAAGGUAAACUGAGAGCCAGAGACUCUCACACCAUAGAGCCACCCGCUCCCCACUCCAUUCCCCCGCCCCCGCUGCUCCUCACACAGUGUCCUCCAGCAUCAUGCCCUGGGUUUCGGAGGUGCAGAGGGUGCCCAGGUAGGAGCUUGGGGAGGCUCACACAUUCACACUGGUGUGAAGGGGCGUGCAUGUCACGUCCAGCAGUGUGCUGUGUGCCCCUCCACGUGCGAAGCUGCGGUCCACACCAAGGGGGGCCUACAGAGGAUCUUGGGCCCCCAGACCUCCACCUGCUGCAGAGCUGCCGCCAGUCAAGCCCUUGUUUCCGGCUUUCUGCGCCCUAAAUAAACUUCCGUCAGGUUUGAGCCGUCA